GCAGCACGGACUUCGGUCUGGUGGCGAGUGGCGAACGGGUGAGUAAUGUAUCGGAACGUGCCCAGUAGCGGGGGAUAACUACGCGAAAGCGUAGCUAAUACCGCAUACGCCCUACGGGGGAAAGCAGGGGAUCGCAAGACCUUGCACUAUUGGAGCGGCCGAUAUCGGAUUAGCUAGUUGGUGGGGUAACGGCUCACCAAGGCGACGAUCCGUAGCUGGUUUGAGAGGACGACCAGCCACACUGGGACUGAGACACGGCCCAGACUCCUACGGGAGGCAGCAGUGGGGAAUUUUGGACAAUGGGGGAAACCCUGAUCCAGCCAUCCCGCGUGUGCGAUGAAGGCCUUCGGGUUGUAAAGCACUUUUGGCAGGAAAGAAACGUCGUGGGUUAAUACCCCGCGAAACUGACGGUACCUGCAGAAUAAGCACCGGCUAACUACGUGCCAGCAGCCGCGGUAAUACGUAGGGUGCAAGCGUUAAUCGGAAUUACUGGGCGUAAAGCGUGCGCAGGCGGUUCGGAAAGAAAGAUGUGAAAUCCCAGAGCUUAACUUUGGAACUGCAUUUUUAACUACCGGGCUAGAGUGUGUC
rnacentral:rRNA from 1 species